rnacentral:rRNA from 1 species
UACGGAGGGUGCAAGCGUUAUCCGGAUUCACUGGGUUUAAAGGGUGCGUAGGUGGGCAAGUAAGUCAGUGGUGAAAUCUCCGGGCUUAACCCGGAAACUGCCAUUGAUACUAUUUGUCUUGAAUACUGUGGAGGUCAGCGGAAUAUGUCAUGUAGCGGUGAAAUGCUUAGAUAUGACAUAGAACACCUAUUGCGAAGGCAGCUAACUACGCGAAUAUUGACGCUGAGGCACGAAAGCGUGGGGAUCAAACAGG